rnacentral:rRNA from 1 species
UAACACUGAAUGGAGGACCGAACCGACUUACGUUGAAAAGUGAGCGGAUGAACUGAGGGUAGCGGAGAAAUUCCAAUCGAACUUGGAGAUAGCUGGUUCUCUCCGAAAUAGCUUUAGGGCUAGCCUCAAGUGAUGAUUAUUGGAGGUAGAGCACUGUUUGGACGAGGGGCCCCUCUCGGGUUACCGAAUUCAGACAAACUCCGAA